UAAGCAUAUCAAUAAGCGGAGGAAAAGAAACCAACAGGGAUUGCCUCAGUAACGGCGAGUGAAGCGGCAACAGCUCAAAUUUGAAAUCUGGCCCCAGGCCCGAGUUGUAAUUUGCAGAGGAUGCUUUUGGCGCGGUGCCUUCCGAGUUCCCUGGAACGGGACGCCAUAGAGGGUGAGAGCCCRGUACGGUUGGACACCAAGCCUUUGUAAAGCUCCUUCGACGAGUCGAGUAGUUUGGGAAUGCUGCUCUAAAUGGGAGGUAUAUUUCUUCUAAAGCUAAAUAUAGGCCAGAGACCGAUAGCGCACAAGUAGAGUGAUCGAAAGAUGAAAAGCACUUUGAAAAGAGGGUUAAACAGCACGUGAAAUUGUUAAAAGGGAAGCGCUUGUGACCAGACUUGCGUCCGGUGAAUCACCCAGCUCUCGCGGCUGGGGCACUUUGCCGGCACAGGCCAGCAUCAGCUCGCUGUCGGGGACAAAAGCUUCGGGAACGUAGCUCUCUUCGGGGAGUGUUAUAGCCCGUUGCAUAAUACCCUUCGGUGGGCUGAGGUACGCGCUCCGCAAGGAUGCUGGCGUAAUGGUCAUCAGCGACCCGUCUUGAAACACGGACCAAGGAGUCAACCUUAUGUGCGAGUGUUUGGGUGUUAAACCCCUACGCGUAAUGAAAGUGAACGCAGGUGAGAGCUUCGGCGCAUCAUCGACCGAUCCUGAUGUUCUCGGAUGGAUUUGAGUAAGAGCAUAUAGGGUUGGACCCGAAAGAAGGUGAACUAUGCGUGUAUAGGGUGAAGCCAGAGGAAACUCUGGUGGAGGCUCGCAGCGGUUCUGACGUGCAAAUCGAUCGUCAAAUAUGCGCAUGGGGGCGAAAGACUAAUCGAA
rnacentral:rRNA from 1 species